UUUUGGGGCAAUGAUUGAACCCGCGAAUAUAUCAAAUUUUCUCAAAAUCCCUCCUUUCUCAAAAGAAAACAGAAAUGCCCUCUUUUCUCAAUCGAACGGACACAAUGGCCAGAUAGGAUCAAGAAGGAAACUCCACCGCCGCCGUCUCUGUCGCCAGAGAGUCCCACCAACCCCAGCUUCCGGUAAGCCGAGUGAAGAGAAUCAUAAAAUUGGACCAGGACAUCAACAAGGUAAACUCAGAAGCCUUACAUCUCAUCGCUAGUUCUACUGAGCUUUUUAUCGAAUCCUUAGCAGAAAAAUCUGCCCAAGUCGCAUUGGAGAAGAACAGAAAAACCAUAAAGGUCGAGCAUUUAAGAGUUGUCGUUAAAAGACAUCAACCUACAAGCGAUUUCCUUCUCGAUUCGCUUCCCAUGCCGCCUUCACAGCCAUCCGAUCCAUCUCCCAAGGUUCAAAGUUGUCGUCGAUUAUCAAAAGACAAGCCACUUCCUUCCGGAUAGGGAUGGCAAUGGAGCGGUGCGGGUGCGGGGUGGAGCGGGUCUUAAGCUAUGCGGUGCAGUGGAAUUGCGGGACGUGUUAAAGUAAAUUUUUUUUUUAAAUGGUGCGGUGCGGGAUGCCAUAUAUGCGGGUUUAAUUAAAAAAAGCUAAAAAUUAAUUCUCUUAAAUAUAUCUAAAAUUAUAUGUAUUUUUUAUUUAAAUUUUUAUGAUACUUAAAAUGAUGUGUAUAAGGUUACAAAUAAAUAAUUUUAUAGUUUUUUUAAUAUCUCUAUUUAUUUUAAUAAAAAUAUAAUAUUUGAUCAUUAUUUAUACACGUAAUAUUUUUUGAGAAUUUCUUAGUGAAAAGUGAUAUUAUAAAAAUUAAUUAUUAUUUUUUAGUUGCAGAUUUAAAAAUAUUAUGAUUUUUAAUGAAGUUAAAAAAUUUUCAAGAAAAAUAAAAAUAAAAAUAAAAACAUGGGGUGAUGCGGUGCGGUGCGGGUAUUCACAGGUAUGAGUAUGGGCCGGAUUUAUGUGCGUUUAAAAGUGAUGCGGUGCGGUUUUAAACCCGCACCACACCAUCGCCAUCCCUACUUCCGGAACUCAAAGAAUUGAGGCAUUCUUUCAGAAUUGCACUUAAACUCGGUGUUGAAUGGUUAUGUGAAACGGUUAUUCAUUCCUCUUUUCUCAAUCGACAACCUCCCUCUCAAAAGCCCUCUUUCCUUUCUUCAAUAAUCCGUCCCUCACCGACCCGACCUCUCUCCGGCGACUGUUGCAGUCAGCGGCGACGACACCUAGUCACAUAAUUUUAGCUGAAAUAUUUGAGGUUUAGGCAUCAUUUACCCUCACUCUGCUGCAGAAUGAUAUAAAAGCAGCUCUGAGAUCUGCUUUCGGUACUAUGAAAGGGCCUUUAUCUGUUGUUGAUUGGUGCAAAGGUCGCAGUCAAUCAAAUGAUGGGGGAAUAUCUGGUGACGAUUUUUCCGCAGAGUCCACUGCCAGUGCAAGUGAAUGUCGAGAUUCAUCAAAUACCAUAUCAUUGUCUGUUGGAGAACCUAUAAGUCCAUCUCAGUCCUCUGCUAGUGGAACAUCUAGUUUGAGAGAUGGCAUUAGGGUGGAUGAGGCAAGUGAGCGCAGAUUAAGCCAAGAUACUUGCCUAUCAGAGUCGGAGAAUCUACUGGGUUCAAGGCUUAGGCCAACGUUGGCUGCAGUACCAUAUCCGACUAUACUUCUUGGGUGUGUUUUUUAUACUGAAAUUGGUUGAUCCUUGUCCAUUCAUCUUUUUUGGAUCAGUGAGCAUUACAGAAAAUGUGCAAGCAAAAUGCUGAAAAUCGAAAGAAAAAAAAUAUUCCACACAUUGGUGGCUCCAAGUCUAACGUGAGAAGAAGAGCUGAAAUGAUGGUUGAGAUUGGACAUAAGUCUGGACGAGCAGAACUUUAUCUUGCUACUCAUAAGAAAGAAGAUGGAUCAUAUGUUAAUGAAGUGGCAAAAGAGAUUUGUGUUGCACCAAAAGUAUGCUCAAGAGAUUGAAGUGCUGAAGGAAGAAACAAGGAGUAUUGUAACGAACCGUAUUUUGGGCUAGAAUUUAAUGAUGAUAAUGAAAGAAGGCACAAUAUCUGAACAGUUUGCAGAUUUUUUCACUUCUACGCCAAGUGAUGUCUCCAGUGGACCUCUUUUGGAUGUGAAUGGAAGAUCAUCUGGUGAUAGUUAUUCUAGCGAUGAUUAUUGAAAUUUGUAAUCGUAUUAGUAAUUAUGCCAAUGUUAUUGAAUCGCUGUUGGAGCAGUAUUUUGUGUUUAAAUUAGUUUUUAAGACUAAUGACAAUAUUUUUGUGGUACGUUUUUAUGAUCUAAUAUAUUUUGAUUUUUGUUGUUA